rnacentral:lncRNA from 1 species
UUAAAUCCUCUACUGCAACAAGUCAAACAUGUUACAGCUAUCUGGAAAUUUAAAUCCUUUCCCACCCCUCAUUCAUGCAAGCUUGUGACAUGGCACUGCUUUGACAAAACUGCAGGAACAGAAGUCUCAGCAGUGCAUGAUUGCCAAAUGAAGUCAUCAAUAUGCUUAAAUUCUAAACCACGCAAAGAUCUGAAGGUGAUCCAACAGCCAACUCCCCUCAGCUUUCUCUAUCCACUUGACAUAUCAACCAUGGCUGCAUUAUUCAAUGUCAGCAGCUAAUGGAUAAACAACAGCAGUAAAGAUCCAGAGCUGGACCGAAGAAAACAAUGAGAGAGCAGGGUGGGGUGAGAGGCAGACCACAUGGGUGCCAUGUCUCCUCUCCUGUGAGACUGCUGACAAAGACUUGGCUGCUGUUUGUUUGUCUUCUUCCAUGGUACCACCCUCUUCAAAGGGUCACUGCUAUCACAGCCGAAGAGUGAAGAAACGUCUCCAUGAGGGACCAAACUCUCCUCCUCUCACCAAGCUUUUGUGUGAAGGUGAAGGUAGAACACAAAGUUCCAUUGACAUCUGGAAUCAAAACUUUCACCGCAGUGAAAGCUCAUCGAGCACUCCACAUUUGAAUGCUGAGCUACAUAGAUCUGCUACAGUUGUCCUUGGAUAGUUAAUGAGUCCACAGCAAUUGGCUACAAGCAAGAUGUCAUGAUCCUUAAAGUGAAAGCUUAAACCAAAAAAAAGAUAAAAGGAGAAAAAGGUAGAAGCAAGAACAGUUGAUUGGAUAAGCCCACCACGCGAGAAAACAUCAUUCUAGCCAACACUACUUUGUUUGCUUCAGCUCUUCUGUAGUUUUUACUGUUUUCCAAGGCAAAUUUAUAUGAGCAAAAUAUAAUAUCAUAUAUAUAUAUAUAUAUGUAUAUAUAAAACCAAGCUUACCAUCAGCCACACUAUUAAUCUCGUCCAAUUAGUCACUUAAUUAGGCCAAUAAUCUUUCACAUGUAUUGAAGGAAACAAUGCAUCUAGACCGUUCAACUUCAAAUCCACGGCUCCAGAUCAAGCCGAUGCCUGUCGAGACGAGACGACGCUGCAGCGGGACUGCCACGUAAUCACGGAGUUACCCCGGAAUUAACGGAGGAUAGACCGGCUAUUUUGGAUUGCUUGUAAGGGCAUUAUUGUCAUUUAGGGAUUUAAAUUUCAAAACAUUUGGUCCCUACCUGAGACCGACUAUAGGGACCGUCCGAUUCACCCAUCGUACGGCAUCCGAAGGCGGUAAAUGAGAAGGAAAGGGAAG